rnacentral:tRNA from 1 species
GGCCAGUUGACCGAUUGGAAGGUUGGAGUUUCAUAAACUUUUUAUAAUGGUUCGAAUCCAUUACUAGGCCGCUA